rnacentral:rRNA from 1 species
UACGGAGGGGGCAAGCGUUGUCCGGACUUACUGGGCGUAAAGAGCGCGCAGGCGGCUGGUCAAGUCCGAUGUGAAAUCUCCCGGCUCAACUGGGAAACUGCAUCAGAAACUGAUCGGCUUGAAGAUGGGAGAGGGUAGUGGAAUUCCCGGUGUAGUGGUGAAAUGCGUAGAUAUCGGGAGGAACACCAGUGGCGAAGGCGACUACCUGGCCCAUUCUUGACGCUGAGGCGCGAAAGCUAGGGGAGCGAACCGG